UACGUAAAGGGCUAGCGUUGUCCAGAAUCAUUGGGCGUAAAGAGCAUGUAAGCGGUCCGAUAAAUCCGCUGUGAAAGUCGGAAGCUCAACCCUCGAAUGCCGGUGGAUACUGUCGGACUAGAGUGCGGAAGAGGCGAGUGGAAUUCCCGGUGUAGCGGUGAAAUGCGCAGAUAUCGGGAGGAACACCAAUUGCGAAGGCAGCUCGCUGGGACGUAACUGGCGCUGAGACGCGAAAGCGUGGGGAGCAAACAGG
rnacentral:rRNA from 1 species